UUUCCACCACCACUCAAGUUCCCAAGGCCUGUGAGCAGGGAGAGGUCUCUGGGGGGUGAGAGGUUGGGGCAGCUGAGGUGGGCAGGUACUAGGAGCAACUGGAGAGAGACUUGAGGAAGGGAUAGGUGUGCAGGGCGGGAGCAGGAACUGGGCUAGAGAGUCCCUGAAGGGCAGGAAGACAGGAAGGGGCUCAGGCCUCAUGGUGGGGGUGGGGAUGGGUGGAGUGGCUGAACUCCUUUCUUCUUCCCUAAGACCCCUCCCAAGAUCUCUCCCAGAUGAGCACCUCCUUUGCUCAGUAUAGUAUCUCCAUGGCCAUCUUGAGAUUACGGAUCUGCCCAGUCCCACAUGUGUGAGUGGUCCAGCCCAGCCUGCCCCCAAACCCAGAGAGAGCUUUGUGUUUGGAGGAGUUCCAUUCUUGUUAGAUAAGACAUGGUCUAGACUGGGUGUGGUGGCUCAUGGCUAUAACCCCAGCACUUUGGGAGGCUGAGGUGGGAGGAUCACUUGAAGUCAAGAGUUUGAGACCAGCCUGGGCAACACAGCAAGAUCCUGUCUCUAUAAAUAAAGUUUUUAAAAAAUUAGCCAGGCAUGGUGGCACACACCUAUAAUCCCAGCUACUUGGGAGGC
rnacentral:lncRNA from 10 species